UACGUAGGGUGCAAGCGUUAUCCGGAAUCACUGGGCGUAAAGCGUGCGUAGGCGGCGUGUUAAGUGUGAUGUUAAAUCGUGUGGCUCAACCAUAUCGAUGCAUCACAUACUGGCAUGCUAGAGGAAGGCAGAGGCAAGUGGAAUUGGUAGUGUAGCAGUGAAAUGCGUAGAUAUUACCAGGAACACCAAUGGCGAAGGCAGCUUGCUGGGCCUUUUCUGACGCUGAGGUACGAAAGCGUGGGGAGCGAACAGG
rnacentral:rRNA from 1 species